UUUCGGCCAAUGAAAGGGAACACUUAGUGGCGGACUGGUGAGUAACGCGUGAGGAACCUGCCUUUCAGAGGGGGACAACAGUUGGAAACGACUGCUAAUACCGCAUGACGCAUUUGGGUGGCAUCACCUGAAUGCCAAAGAUUUAUCGCUGAAAGAUGGCCUCGCGUCUGAUUAGCUAGUUGGUGGGGUAACGGCCCACCAAGGCGACGAUCAGUAGCCGGACUGAGAGGUUGACCGGCCACAUUGGGACUGAGAUACGGCCCAGACUCC
rnacentral:rRNA from 1 species